AUUCGCCAUGCACCAGGAUUGGAGGUUACUGACGAUGACUUGAAAGUCUGGCUAUCUGAUCUGAAAGGAUUUUAUUUUCUGACCCAGCAUUCUGCAAAGGCAACCCUCUUGCAAAAGAGGCAAUAGACCAGUUGCAGCAGCUGGAGAAUGAUGAACUUAUCAUAGAGCGCUCAGAGGUUGUGGCGGCCAUUACGGAUUCGGUAGAUUACCUGAGAAGACUAACUACGUCAAAUCUAGAAACCGAGGAUCGAAUUAAUGAUCUGGAAAUGAAGAUGAAAGAAAUUCUUAAACAAGAUGUAAUUUCCGGGAUGGAUAGCUUUAAAUCAGAAUUAACAGACAACCUUAUAAAGUACAACCGCGAACACCACUGUACGCUCAAGAUUGGUCCCUUCAUUGAAUGUGGAAAUGACGGACUUGAAGACUUCUAUGUUCCUCCAAACAUUAG